rnacentral:rRNA from 1 species
AUUAGCUUUAUUACGUUAUUAGUUGAUAUUGCAUAUCAUUUAAGAAAAAUUUUAUAGAUAAUAAAAAAUAAAAAUAAAGAGUAGAAUUUUUUUUUCUUUUAUUGUUUCAUAAUAAAAAUUAAGAAAAUUAGAGUUGAAAAGUCGUUCUUUAUUAUAUUUGUUUUGUUUAAAAUAUUAGAAAAUUAUAUUUUAUUAAUUUUUUAUUGUAAUAAAAAAAUUUGAAGUGUUUAUUUUUUAAGUUUUAUAACUUUUUAUAAGUUUAGAAGUUUGAUAGUAAAUUAUGUAUUUAUUAAUAUUUUAAUAAAUAUUUUAUCUUGGAAUUAGUAAAAUUAUUUUAAGGUAUAAAUUAAUGUUAAUAUAAUAAAAAAAUUCAGUAUUCAAUCAAAUGUUUUUUAAAGACUUAGACUUUUUUAUAAAGUUUGCUUCUGCCCAGUGAUGUUUUAAAUGGCAGUCUUAGCGUGAGGACAUUAAGGUAGCAAAAUAAUUUGUGCUUUUAUUAAGUUCCAGUAUGAAUGAAGUUAUUGGUUGAUGAUUUUUUUAUUUUGGGUUUGAAUUUGUAUUUGUAUAAAAAAUUAUAAUUGUAAUUAAACAAAGAUAAGUCUUCGGAAAUUCUAUUUAAACUUUGUGGAUUCAUAAAUUUUAAAAUUUUCUAGGGCAGAAUAAUAUAUAUUAAAAUUUUCUAUUGAUAAUUUAAAGAAUUACUCCGGAGUUAACAGAAAAUCAUGCUUAAUCUAGUUCUUAUAGUAUAGUAAGUUUUACAUCGAUGUUGUAUUUGGGUAUAUUAAGAAAGGAGAAAACUUAAUAAUUAAGACUGUUCUUCUUUUAAUUAAUUCAACGUGAUAUUAGUUUAAUUCAUUGUGAGAUAGAAU